GGUCUGGUGUCAUGUCUAUGCCAGAUGCUAUGAUUAGAUCCAAGUAAUAUUUUCACAUUUAAAUAGGAAAGUGUGGAUUGAUUUUACAACAUUUAUCCAUGGGACUAUUUUUUGCGACUAUAUAU